rnacentral:rRNA from 1 species
GUCUACGGCCAUACCACCCUGAACGCGCCCCAUCUCGUCUGAUCUCGGAAGCUAAGCAGGCUCAGGCCUGGUUAGUACUUGGAUGGGAGAAACACAGUGUGCCCGUAUCCC